GACGAACGCUGGCGGCGUGCUUAACACAUGCAAGUCGAACGGUAAGGCCCUUCGGGGUACACGAGUGGCGAACGGGUGAGUAACACGUGGGUGAUUUGCCCUGCACUUCGGGAUAAGCCUGGGAAACUGGGUCUAAUACCGGAUAGGACUCCGGACUGCAUGGUCUGGGGUGGAAAGCUUUUGCGGUGUGGGAUGGGCCCGCGGCCUAUCAGCUUGUUGGUGGGGUGAUGGCCUACCAAGGCGACGACGGGUAGCCGGCCUGAGAGGGUGACCGGCCACACUGGGACUGAGAUACGGCCCAGACUCCUACGGGAGGCAGCAGUGGGGAAUAUUGCACAAUGGGCGCAGGCCUGACGCAGCGACGCCGCGUGAGGGAUGACGGCCUUCGGGUUGUAAACCUCUUUCAGCAUCGACGAAGCGAAAGUGACGGUAGGUGCAGAAGAAGGACCGGCCAACUACGUGCCAGCCGCCGCAGUAA
rnacentral:rRNA from 1 species